rnacentral:rRNA from 1 species
UAGGGAAUCUUCGGCAAUGGACGAAAGCCUGACCGAGCAACGCCGCGUGCGUGAAGAAGGUUUUCGGAUCGUAAAACUCUGUUGUUAGAGAAGAACAAGGACGUUAGUAACUGAACGUCCCCUGACGGUAUCUAACCAGAAAGCCACGGCUAACUACGUGCCAGCAGCCGCGGUAAUACGUAGGUGGCAAGCGUUGUCCGGAUUUAUUGGGCGUAAAGCGAGCGCAGGCGGUUUUUUAAGUCGGAUGUGAAAGCCCCCGGCUCAACCGGGGAGGGUCAUUGGAAACUGGGAGACUUGAGUGCAGAAGAGGAGAGUGGAAUUCCAUGUGUAGCGGUGAAAUGCGUAGAUAUAUGGAGGAACACCAGUGGCGAAGGCGGCUCGCUGGUCUGUAACUGACGCUGAGGCUCGAAAGCGUGGGGAGCAAACAGG